GCGCAGUUACGUCAUUGCGCGCGCCCAAAUUCAAACGUAAUCAAAAGACCGCCAAAUUACGCGCAUUCAGGAUCGAGACCAACGGAUGAAAAUGUUUGCGCUUGUCGAGUGGAAACAAGAAAUUGAAUGAAAGUUGGAGCAUUGUUCCAACAUCACACAUAAAAAACUUAGAUAAAAUAAUGAUGAUUUCUUGGACGGACAAGAUGACAGAUCUGUAUAUUUAACCGACUGGAGAGGUGGACUGAAGAAAAAACCUCAAGGCAGAUGGCAUUUGUACGAGGCAAUGGCGCAUAAAGUUGCAGAGACAGUCCACCCUAGAAAAACCAACGAGGACUCAACAUCAGUCCAGUCCAAAACUUCUGAGCAAAAGAAAAUGCAGGCCAAGCUUUUUAAGAAUAAGGAAGUUGUUCUUGGGGAAGCGGAUAUUUAACUUCAUAUCUUGUUAAGUAUAAUUAUUAUUAUUUAUUAAUAAUAGUAGUAAUAGUAUUGAAAAUAUGUGAUGCAAAGCUAAAUUGUAUCAGGCCCCCUAAACACUUUUUGUUAAAGCAAUCUUCUAUUUAUUAAUAUAACUUUAAUAUUGAUUCAUGUUUGCCUUUCCUCACAGCUUGAAAUUCACCCGGGCUCAGGAGUUUGUGUUGUGGUCAUGCAAACAGCCUCACUGCUAUGGCAUGGAUGUUUCUUCUUGGAGUAUUUUGACACUUUUGCGCAAUCUCAGAGGUGGCAAGUCUAAAAAAAGCAAGCCCUGGGGAAACAAAGGAGGCCUUGGACAGAAAAAAAAUUGAUGCAAUAAUGAAUGCAGUGAUCCAGAGAUCUCCUGGAACCACCAGGGGCCAACUAAGGGUCGCUAUUAAUCAAAAGGUCACUGAGCUGCGGACAUCCAAAAAGACU